rnacentral:rRNA from 1 species
CAUGCAAGUCGAGGGGCAGCAUGAACUUAGCUUGCUAAGUUUGAUGCCGACCGGCGCACGGGUGAGUAACACGUAUCCAACCUGCCGAUGACUCGGGGAUAGCCUUUCGAAAGAAAGAUUAAUACCCGAUGGCAUAGUUCUUCCGCAUGGUAGAACUAUUAAAGAAUUUCGGUCAUCGAUGGGGAUGCGUUCCAUUAGGUUGUUGGCGGGGUAACGGCCCACCAAGCCUUCGAUGGAUAGGGGUUCUGAGAGGAAGGUCCCCCACAUUGGAACUGAGACACGGUCCAAACUCCUACGGGAGGCAGCAGUGAGGAAUAUUGGUCAAUGGACGAGAGUCUGAACCAGCCAAGUAGCGUGAAGGAUGACUGCCCUAUGGGUUGUAAACUUCUUUUAUACGGGAAUAAAGUGAGGCACGUGUGCCUUUUUGUAUGUACCGUAUGGAUAAGGAUCGGCUAACUCCGUGCCAGCAGCCGCGGUAAUACGGAGGAUCCGAGCGUUAUCCGGAUUUAUUGGGUUUAAAGGGAGCGUAGGCGGACGCUUAAGUCAGUUGUGAAAGUUUGCGGCUCAACCGUAAAAUUGCAGUUGAUACUGGGUGUCUUGAGUACAGUAGAGGCAGGCGGAAUUCGUGGUGUAGCGGUGAAAUGCUUAGAUAUCACGAAGAACUCCGAUUGCGAAGGCAGCCUGCUGGACUGUAACUGACGCUGAUGCUCGAAAGUGUGGGUAUCAAACAGGAUUGGAUACCCUGGUAGUCCACACAGUAAACGAUGAAUACUCGCUGUUUGCGAUAUACAGUAAGCGGCCAAGCGAAAGCGUUAAGUAUUCCACCUGGGGAGUACGCCGGCAACGG